CCUACGGGGGGCAGCAGUGGGGAAUAUUGGGCAAUGGGCGCAAGCCUGACCCAGCAACGCCGCGUGAAGGAAGAGGGCUUUCGGGUUGUAAACUUCUUUUAUGAGGGACGAAACAAAUGACGGUACCUCAUGAAUAAGCCACGGCUAACUACGUGCCAGCAGUCGCGGUAAUACGUAGGUGGCAAGCGUUAUCCGGAUUUACUGGGUGUAAAGGGCGUGUAGGCGGGACUGCAAGUCAGAUGUGAAAAUUAUGGGCUCAACCCAUAACCUGCAUUUGAAACUGUAGUUCUUGAGUGAUGGAGAGG
rnacentral:rRNA from 1 species